AGCAGCCGCGGUAAUUCCAGCUCCAAUAGCGUAUAUUAAAGUUGUUGCAGUUAAAAAGCUCGUAGUUGAAUUUCGGGGUCAGUAGGUCGGUCGUGCCACUGGUAUGAACUGGUUUUACUGAUUCCUCCCUCUUGAAGAACUGUAAUGCCAUUAAUUUGGUGUUGCAGGGAAUCAGGACUGUUACUUUGAAAAAAUUAGAGUGUUUAAAGCAGGCUUUAGCUUGAAUACAUUAGCAUGGAAUAAUGAAAUAGGACGUUUGAUCCUAUUUUGUUGGUUUCUAGGAUUGACGUAAUGAUUAAUAGGGAUAGUUGGGGGCAUUAGUAUUCAAUUGUCAGAGGUGAAAUUCUUGGAUUUAUUGAAGACUAACUACUGCGAAAGCAUUUGCCAAGGAUGUUUUCAUUAAUCAAGAACGAAAGUUAGGGGAUCGAAGACGAUCAGAUACCGUCGUAGUCUUAACCAUAAACUAUGCCGACCUAGGGAUCGAAGGGAUGUUAAUUUUUUAAAUGACUCA
rnacentral:rRNA from 1 species